UACGGGGGGGGUAAGCGUUGUUCGGAAUUACUGGGCGUAAAGGGCUCGUAGGCGGCCAACUAAGUCAGACGUGAAAUCCCUCAGCUUAACUGGGGAACUGCGUCUGAUACUGGAUGGCUUGGAUUCGGGAGAGGAAUGCGGAAUUCCAGGUGUAGCGGUGAAAUGCGUAGAUAUCUGGAGGAACACCGGUGGCGAAGGCGGCUCUCUGGAACGGUACUGACGCUGAGACGCGAAAGCGUGGGGAGCGAACAGG
rnacentral:rRNA from 1 species